GAUGAACGCUGGCGGCGUGCCUAAUACAUGCAAGUCGAGCGAAUGGAUUAAGAGCUUGCUCUUAUGAAGUUAGCGGCGGACGGGUGAGUAACACGUGGGUAACCUGCCCAUAAGACUGGGAUAACUCCGGGAAACCGGGGCUAAUACCGGAUAACAUUUUGAACUGCAUGGUUCGAAAUUGAAGGGCGGCUUCGGCUGUCACUUAUGGAUGGACCCGCGUCGCAUUAGCUAGUUGGUGAGGUAACGGCUCACCAAGGCAACGAUGCGUAGCCGACCUGAGAGGGUGAUCGGCCACACUGGGACUGAAACACGGCCCAGACGCCUACGGGAGGCAGCAGUAGGGAAUCUUCCGCAAUGGCCGAAAGUCUGACGGAGCAACGCCGCGUGAGUGAUGAAGGCUUUCGGGUCGUAAAACUCUGUUGUUAGGGAAGAACAAGUGCUAGUUGAAUAAGCUGGCACCUUGACGGUACCUAACCAGAAAGCCACGGCUAACUACGUGCCAGCCGCCGCCGUAA
rnacentral:rRNA from 1 species